GAUGAACGCUGGCGGCGUGCCUAAUACAUGCAAGUCGAGCGAACAGACGAGGAGCUUGCUCCUCUGACGUUAGCGGCGGACGGGUGAGUAACACGUGGAUAACCUACCUAUAAGACUGGGGUAACUUCGGGAAACCGGAGCUAAUACCGGAUAAUAUAUUGAACCGCAUGGUUCAAUAGUGAAAGACGGUUUUGCUGUCACUUAUAGAUGGAUCCGCGCCGCAUUAGCUAGUUGGUAAGGUAACGGCUUACCAAGGCGACGAUGCGUAGCCGACCUGAGAGGGUGAUCGGCCACACUGGAACUGAGACACGGUCCAGACUCCUACGGGAGGCAGCAGUAGGGAAUCUUCCGCAAAGGGCGAAAGCCUGACGGAGCAACGCCGCGUGAGUGAUGAAGGUCUUCGGAUCGUAAAACUCUGUUAUUAGGGAAGAACAAAUGUGUAAGUAACUAUGCACGUCUUGACGGUACCUAAUCAGAAAGCCACGGCUAACUACGUG
rnacentral:rRNA from 1 species